GAUGAAGAACGUAGCGAAAUGCGAUAAGUAAUGUGAAUUGCAGAAUUCAGUGAAUCAUCGAGUCUUUGAACGCACAUUGCGCCCGCCAGCAUUCUGGCGGGCAUGCCUGUUCGAGCGUCAUUUCAACCCUCGAGCCCCCCCGGGGGCCUCGGUGUUGGGGGACGGCACACCAGCCGCCCCCGAAAUGCAGUGGCGACCCCGCCGCAGCCUCCCCUGCGUAGUAGCACACACCUCGCACCGGAGCGCGGAGGCGGUCACGCCGUAAAACGCCCAACUUUCUUAGAGUUGACCUCGGAUCAGGUAGGAAUACCCGCUGAACUUAAGCAUAUCAAUAAGCGGAGGA
rnacentral:misc_RNA from 1 species